rnacentral:rRNA from 1 species
UUAGCCCUAAAUCUAGAUAGAUAACUCAACAAAUCUAUCCGCCAGAGAACUACUAGCAACAGCUUAAAACUCAAAGGACUUGGCGGUGCUUCACAUCCCUCUAGAGGAGCCUGUUCUAUAAUCGAUAAACCCCGAUAAACCUUACCACCUCUUGCUAAUACAGUCUAUAUACCGCCAUCUUCAGCAAACCCUCAAAAGGAAUAACAGUAAGCAAAAGCAUCUUAACAUAAAAAAGUUAGGUCAAGGUGUAGCCUAUGAGGUGGGAAGCAAUGGGCUACAUUUCCUACACAAGGACACUUCACGAAAGUUUUUAUGAAACCAAAGACUAAAGGAGGAUUUAGCAGUAAGCCAAGAAUAGAGUGCUUAGCUGAAUCGGGCCAUGAAGCACGC